AGAUGAGGUACAUAUCCAAGUCGAGGGCCUCAAAAGGAGGCAUCAGUGAUAUGUGGCAGAAGGGGGCUGGGAGGAAUUUCUGGAAAUUUGGUUCUAAUCAUGUUCUUCCUGUUAGUCUCCUCCAAUGACAGGAAGCAAGAUAGAGGCCUGACAAGGAGUGUCCCGAAAAGGGUUGAAUUCAUUUUAUGAUGUUAUGAUACAAAAUAAGAGACCACGAAUGGUUAGUCCCUAAGCAGAGCGACGGAGUCUCACCACAUCGGAAAGGCCUUGGAGAAAUCACCAAGACUCCAGCAACGGAGAGUCGGCUCCAUCUCAGGAGGCGGAACUAGGUUUCUCCAGGUCAGAAGGGCUGCAAAUGUGAAGGGAGGACAGAGGACAGAGGAAGAAAGACAGAAGGGACACUUGGACGGAUCAAAGAUAAGGAGGCUCCCAGAGCAGAGAGAGCCACUGUAGUUUCCAGCAGAGCCUUGGUUGGUGAAAGGGAAUGUCAAAGUGCCACUGAAAACUGUGGCUGGUUCUGCUGUGUCCUCUGCAUUCAAGCUUAUAUUUUUAUUAUAAUCUUUAUUCUAAC
rnacentral:lncRNA from 1 species